UUAACUCAAAUCUGUAUGGCGUUGGAACGCAUGCUUACGUUUGCCGCUAGGGGCGCUGUUCCAACUACAUACAAUUUGAUUUA
rnacentral:pre_miRNA from 1 species